UCUACUUUGUACAUCUCAAAGAAACAAGGCCAGUUUGACCACCUCUCUUUUACUGCAUAAAAAAGAUACAGAUAAAUCAGUAGUAACUAAACUACAAAUACUAACCUUGAAUAUGAAUCAAAACACAAAGAAAGCUUGAGAUUUGACUGAAAGUUACUGCUCGGCUCUGGACGCAGGAACAUGAUGUCACAGCCAGGUAUGAUCACACACUGUAUGCCUGUCAUCAUACCUAAUAUUGUAUAUAUUUGUAAAAAAGUUUUUGUACAGGCAUUUUAGUAAAUUUAUGUUCAUGCAGACGGCCCCUAGGUCCCCACGCACCAUCCAGUCCAAAGUUCUGAUCCUGACGUCACUGUAACAUCGACCAUCUGUGCUCCAUGCUGUGUUCAAUGGUAACGGACCGUCAGUGUGUUUUUUAAUUCAGCUAUGCUGCCAGAUCCUGAAGACAGACUACAGAAAAGCCAGUUGCCCAGGUAAAGCAGGUACGACUUAUUUUAGUUAUUUUUAAACUCACUGGCUCAUUAUGAUGAAAUCUACUCUGUACAUCUCAAAGAAACAAGGCCAGUUUGACCACCUCUCUUUUACUGCAUAAAAAAGAUACAGAUAAAUCAGUAGUAACUAAACUACAAAUACUAACCUUAAAUAUGAAUCAAAACACAAAGAAAGCUUGAGAUUUGACUGAAAGCAAAGUGGCUUUAAGUUACAUUCAAAAGCUAAUUUUAUCAUUUUAAAAUUAAGGUUUUUAUUUCAUUGCAUUCACUGUGUAGUUUUUAAUUUUAACUCUUAUUAUGCAAAAACGUUUAAGAUGAAGACAUAUGAAGAUAUAUAUGUCGUUCAGGUGAAGGGUAAGGAAAGAUAUGAAAUGUUGAAGAAAAUAAACGACAGUUUGGAAGUUAGCGACGUUAUGCCUCCAUGUGACUUGGACAAAUACAGACAGAAACUGAGUCUAUCGGCUCAAACAAGUCUGUAUUUUCACCUCCCAGUCCACUCAGAACCUGUGGAGGUGUGCGUACAACAGCCAGGCAACUUAAAACUAGGAAACAACAGGAAUGGUAAAAGAUGGAUGUGUCUGCUUUUAACUCCAUGUCACAAAGCUGACAGGUCAGUAAAAAUUCAAUGUUUUUGUUUGAGUUCUAUUCUGAGAAAAUUGUUGUGGCUGCGUGGUGUGUCCUUUUUUAUUUCGGCUCCCAUGUUAAUAGGUUUGAGCUUGCACACUGCCUGCGAUCUUAGGCUGCAACAUCAUUCAAAUGGAAUAUGCGCUCUUUCAGCAGUCGGACUGACUGAAGGAGAUCUGACCAUGCAGGUUCUGGAGCUUUCUGAGGGACCUUUUUGGGCUAAUGAAGCAGAUGAUGAACUUUCAGAGGAACACAGUGACGGCGUGCCCUCGAAGACCGUCUCAGCCUAACGCACCGGAUGUAGGACAGACAUGCUGUCUGGCCACACAACCAGGUAUGAAUAUAGUUCCAUUGUUUCCAAGGCAUCAAAUUCUUGAAUGGUCACUGCUUACAGGAAAUAAGUGAUUGGACAUGCAAAACUAUGCCAAUUUUUACCUCAAUUCAUAGAGAAAUUAACCUCAAUAUAAGGACAAGUACUGGCCCACGGACCUGACGGACCUCAGCCAAACUGCCAUGCUUUAGGUAAUUAGAAUUUUAUUCAUUUGGACUCACAGUUCUGAUGAUGAAAUCUACAUUCUGCAUGUAAGUGGUAUCUGUGCUUUAGCUCUUGGGUCUCUGUGCAUCAGCUCAGCCAGCCACACAGCAGAAAGAGGAGGCGCACCAGCCCAUGUGCUUAAAGCACUACUGGUCCCAGGAGAUAGCAGAGCUUCCUCGACCCAUCCAGCAUCCAGGUGAGUCUUUAGAAAUGAAACAAUUCAUUCUAACACAAUGUCUGGUUUUCAGUGAGUCGGAGAAGAUAGUGUCUGAAAAGAAGCCCGCAGGAACGGUGUCUCCGACAGGAAGUCCCACUCCAGCAGCUCCGCCCUCAUCAGUGCAACACAACACAAUGGCUAGACACCUGGGUGUGGACAGACACUUCCAUGCUCCGUAGAGCCAUCUGGAACUAUAUUCAGUGCAAGUUUGGGAUUCGGUAAGUCUCUUCA
ensembl:lncRNA